rnacentral:rRNA from 1 species
AUUGAACGCUGGCGGCAGGCCUAACACAUGCAAGUCGAACGAGUGGCGGACGGGUGAGUAAUGUCUGGGAAACUGCCUGAUGGAGGGGGAUAACUACUGGAAACGGUAGCUAAUACCGCAUACCAUCGGAUGUGCCCAGAUGGGAUUAGCUAGUAGGUGGGGUAACGGCUCACCUAGGCGACCAUCCCUAGCUGGUCUGAGAGGCUGACCAGCCAGACUGGGACGUAGGCAAGGGCCAGAGUCCCACGGGGGGCAGCAGUGGGGAAUAUGGCCAAAUGGGGGCAAACCUUUAGGAGCCCUGCCGCGUGUAUGAAGGAGGCCUUCGGGUUGUAAAGUUCUUUCGGCGGGGAGGCGGUACCCGCAUGAUAAGCACCGGCUAACUCCGUGCCAGCAGCCGCGGUAAUAC